rnacentral:misc_RNA from 1 species
GUGUAAUGGUUCUAACUUCAAUUCUGCAUAUAUGAUAAAUGAUAAAACAAAAUCUGUACUUAAAUGGAAUUGAUAUUUAAUAAAUUUAAGAUAAAAAAAAAUUUUGUUGUGAUGUGUCCCAUAUUUAGAUAUAUUUUUAUGGGUUUGAAUUAUGACCCAAUUUAAAAAAUUUGCAAUGUAACCUGAAUUCAAUAUUAUGAUUUGAUCAAAUGAGCAUGAUAGAAUCCAAGGGUAAUUUUGAAUUAAACCCAAAAUCACAUUUCGACACAACUCAACUAUGAAAUUUUUAUUACCCUAUGCAAAACUUUAAUAUGACCUGGUGGUCUAACUCUUCACACAGAUUAACAGACCCAUAUCUUACUACUUUAAGACUUCACUUGGACACACCUCAUCUUAUUGUCUCGCCUGAACACACCUUAGCAUAAAUAUCUCCUUACUCCAAUGAGAGCCUAGUUCUAUUAUUACACUCAUGAAUCAGAAAUCAAAGUAUAUAUUGCAAUACUUAACAUUAUGAAUAUCCAACAAUGAGCUACUGUCUUAGCGCUGUGAGGUUUUGAAUUUUAUAUUUAAUAAUGGUAUCUCAUAAAUUAAUUAUAUGAUAAAGUUGUGGCAAAAAGUUUAUAUCAAUCAUUUCUCAAGAAAAAAAGCAGGACAAGUAAUAAUUGUGGAUGCUAUUCAUAGCAAGGAUCAAUAUUCAUUGCAAGGAUCAAAAGAUACGAUCUUACCAGGAUUAGGAUAGAACUUCAUAGGA